CUUUACUCCGGGCCAGGUUCAGCCGGAGAAGAAAGGAGGAGUUAUUCCUGAGCUAAGUUCACAUCAAACACAAGAGGCUCCAAGUGAGAGAAGAUGAAAGCGCCAGUCCUGACCUGGAAGAUUAGCUGUGGUAGUCUACGCUCCUGCCAGCUCCCUGGACUGUAACACCCAGGGCAAUUCUCCCUGGGAUUCACAUUCAUCGCUUCCAUCCCUCAAUGGACUUCACUUCACAGAAGAAGAGGAUGAGACAGACGGAAGGUCUCUUUUGGUUCUAGUCCUCCUGGUUUGGUCACUUGCCUGUCCUGACUCCGAACCCGCCUGCCUGACCACUCUGCCUGUUCUGUCUUCAAGCCGGCCUAUCCCCUUGUACUGUUUGGACUGGGAUCUGGUUACUGAACCCCUGCCUGGCCUGACCUCGAGACUGCCCUUCGUCUGGUACUGUUUGGACUCUGACCCGGUUUAUGAACUCUCGCCUGUCCCCGACCUACCUUUUGCCUACCCCUUGAAUAAAUAUGAAUAAAUAUCGGAGCUCAACCAUCUGCUUCCUGUGUCUGCAUUUGGAACUUGCCUUGUGCCCUUAUAUCAUCAAUCUACACACAAUACCCAUAAUGACAAAGCAAAAACAGUUUUUAAAAAUAUUUUUGCUCAUUUAUAAAAUAAUGAAAAACAUAAAUAUCACAUUUACAUAAGUAUUCAGACCCUUUACUCAGCACUUUGUUGAAGCACCUUUGGCAGCGAUUACAGCCUCAAGUCUUCUUGGGUAUGAUGCUACAAGUUUCUUACAUUCUUCUCUGCAGAUCCUAUCAAACUCUGUCAGGUUGGAUGGGGAGCGUUAUUGCACAGCUAUUUUCAGGUCUCUCCAGAGAUGUUCGAUCGGGUUGGGCCACUCAAGGACAUUCAGAGAAUUGUCCCUAAGCCACUCUUCAGACCAGAAAUGUUUAUCAUGGUCUGAGAGUCUUUAGGUGCCUUUUGGCAAACUCCAAGAGGGCUGUCAUGUGCCUUUUACUGAGGAGUGGCUUCCGCCUGGCCACUCUACCAUAAAGGCCUGAUUGGUGGAGUGCUGCAGAGAUGGUUGUCCUUCUGGAAUGUUCUCCCAUCUCCACAGAGGAUCUCUAGAGCUCUGUCAGAGUGACCAUCGGGUUCUUGGUCACCUCCCUGACCAAGGCCCUUCUCCCCCAAUUGCUCAGUUCUUUAAUUUAAGAAUGAUGGCGGACACUGUGUUCUUGGGGACCUUCAAUGCUGCAGACAUUUUUGGUACCCUUCCCCACAUCUCCCCACAUCUCCCCAAAUCUGUGCUUCGACGGACAAUUCCUUCAACCUCAUGUUUGUUUUUUUCUCUGACAAGCACUCUCAAAUGUGGGACCUUAUAUAGACAGGUGUGUGCCUUUCCAAAUCAUGUCCAAUCAAUUGAAUUUACCACAGGUGGACUGUGGUAAAAACAGGAUGAUCAAAGGAUGAUCAAUGGAAACAGGAUGCACCUGAGCUCAAUUUCGGGUCUCAUAGCAAAGGGUCUGAAUACUUAUGAAAAUAAGGUAUUUCAGUUUUUUUUAUUUCAUAAAUUUGUGAAAAUAUCUAAAAAGCUGUUUUCACUUUGUCAUUAUGGGGUAUUGUGUGUAGAUUGCUGAGGAUUCAUUUUUUUUAAUAAUCCAUUUUAGAAUUAGGCUGCAACAUAGCAAAGUGUGUAAAAAGACCGUUCUGAAUACUUUCUGAAUGCACUGUAUAUUGAUCUGUGGAAUGUAAUGUGUGGGGGCUGUGCUUUGGCAAAGUGGGCGGGGUUAUAUCCUGCCUGUUUGGCCCUGUCCGGGGGUAUCAUCGGAUGGGGCCACAGUGUCUCCUGACCCCUCGUGUCUCAGCCUCAGCCAGUAGUUUAUGUGUCGGGGGGCUAGGGUCAGUCUGUUAUAUCUGGAGUAUUUCUCCUGUCUUAUCCGGUGUCCUGUGUGAAUUUAAGUAUGCUCUCUCUAAUUCUCUUUUUCUUUCUCUUUCUUUCUCUUUCUUUCUUUCUUUC
ensembl:lncRNA